UAUUUCUCUUAUAAUGUUUGAUUAAUGAUACACUCUUUGGACAUACAUAAACACAUGAAAAUACCUACAUUUUCUGGUGGUGUGAAUUAUAUUACUUAUAGUACACGGAGGUUUCUCAGAAGCUAGUACUGUACAAGUAACUUAUCCUGAGGAAGUAUUAAAGGAAUUUUUCUCACAUGAAAGUUCUGGGAAUUGCUGUAAGUGUUUAAUAAAGGGUUCCAGAAACCACUGCUACUUCACAUAGAAACUGACUGCCUUUUGCCCUCCGUGCUUUCCACUGGCGAUAGAUUUUCCCUAUUUGCUAAUUGUAUGUUUAUCACAUUAUUUAUUUAAAUUUCUUAUUGUUUUCUGAGAUUGAAAAACUAAAAAAUAAUCUGGAGUUAAAGGAGGAAGAAUGCAAGAGACUUACAGGAGAAAAUGACAAACUUCACGAAGAUUUGAGAAGCAUGACAUUGAAGGUAGUAUCAUAUGAGAAAAUUAUUGCAUGCCCUGAUGAAAGGCUUGAGAGUUCCCAGCUACCACACUCAGAAAAAAGAAGUACACAUCUGGGAGAAUCAUUUAAGAAGUUCAAAAUGAAAACUGGAAACCUAAGGUUUAAGAGGUUCAAAAUCAAAUGAAUGAAAAUGACAUGGAAAACAAACAACGAAAGAAGGAUGCCAUUUACCACUAGCAUGGCAGUAAGUUGCAUAUAUACAGAUGACGAAUAAAAGUUACACAGAACAUGACCA
rnacentral:lncRNA from 1 species